UACGGAGGAGGCAAGCGUUAUCCGGAUUUAUUGGGCGUAAAGCGUCCGUAGGUGGCGAUUCAAGUCAGUUGUCAAAGCGUGGUGCUCAACACCAUACGGGCAGUUGAAACUGAGUGGCUAGAGUGCGGUAGGGGCCGGGGGGAUUCCCAGUGUAGCGGUGAAAUGCGUAGAUAUUGGGAAGAACACCGGUGGCGAAAGCGCCCUGCUGGGACUGCACUGACACUGUGGGACGAAAGCUAGGGGAGCGAAAGGG
rnacentral:rRNA from 1 species